UACGUAGGCAGCAAGCGUUGUUCGGAUUUACUGGGCGUAAAGAGCGCGCAGGCGGUCGUUCAAGUCGCGUGUGAAAGCCCCCGGCUCAACUGGGGAGGGUCACGCGAUACUGAUCGACUCGAAGGCAGGAGAGGGUAGUGGAAUUCCCGGUGUAGUGGUGAAAUGCGUAGAUAUCGGGAGGAACACCAGUGGCGAAGGCGGCUCACUGGACCGGUACUGACGCCGAUGCGCGAAAGCGUGGGGAGCAAACGGG
rnacentral:rRNA from 1 species